rnacentral:rRNA from 1 species
UGACUUAGUGGCGGACGGGUGAGUAAUGCAUGAGCAACCUGCCCUGCAGUGGGGGACAACAGUUGGAAACGACUGCUAAUACCGCAUGGCACAUAGAUGUCGCAUGGCAUUUAUGUCAAAGAUUUAUCGCUGAAAGAUGGGCUCGCGUCUGAUUAGAUAGUUGGUGAGGUAACGGCCCACCAAGUCAGCGAUGGGUAGCCGGACUGAGAGGUUGAACGGCCACAUUGGAACUGAGAUACGGUCCAGACUCC